AACCACAUGCAAUUUUUUCUAGUCUCAGACAAUGUUUCCUCGACCACGGGCAAGAUUUAAUCGAUUCAGGCGAGUUUUUCUUAGUUUCGUUCGAGUUUAUAAUCGUAUAGCCUUUCAGUCUCUCUCUCUUGCCUUCAAAAAUGAAACUGGGCGGAGAGAGCUCUGUUUAUAAUCCGCCCAAGGUCGCCCAUGCAGCACCGCCCGCUGCCAAAUGUCCAGACAGCUGCUGCGCCCACAGGCGACAGGUGUCUCGGACGACGGCGUGGUGACAGGUGGCGACGGGUGUCACUCCACCGCCCCAUCAACUUCGGCUCCAAGACUCAGUUGACUUUGGCUCCAAGGUUGGUGACUUGAGCCGCAAGGCACUGCGUGUGAUGUGUCCUACUCAUGUCGGUUCCGCAGCCGACGGGGUAUAAACUUCGCCGCGGCACGCCCAACUUUUUCCAUCUUUGCCCAUUCGAGCCCAUUCUUGCCCGUUCUUGCCCUUUAAUGUUUUGGCACCUUUUGGAUACACGCGGUCGAUUGCCUUUGUAUUCGGG
rnacentral:sRNA from 1 species